UACGAAGGGAGCUAGCGUUGUUCGGAAUCACUGGGCGUAAAGCGCACGUAGGCGGAUGUGUCAGUCAGGGGUGAAAUCCCGGGGCUCAACCUCGGAACUGCCUUUGAUACUGCAAAUCUCGAGUCCGGAAGAGGUGAGUGGAAUUCCUAGUGUAGAGGUGAAAUUCGUAGAUAUUAGGAAGAACACCAGUGGCGAAGGCGGCUCACUGGUCCGGUACUGACGCUGAGGUGCGAAAGCGCGGGGAGCAAACAGG
rnacentral:rRNA from 1 species